rnacentral:rRNA from 1 species
GACGAACGCUGGCGGCGUGCUUAACACAUGCAAGUCGAACGGAAAGGCCCUGCUUUUGUGGGGUGCUCGAGUGGCGAACGGGUGAGUAACACGUGAGUAACCUGCCCUUGACUUUGGGAUAACUUCAGGAAACUGGGGCUAAUACCGGAUAGGAGCUCCUGCUGCAUGGUGGGGGUUGGAAAGUUUCGGCGGUUGAGGAUGGACUCGCGGCUUAUCAGCUUGUUGGUGGGGUAGUGGCUUACCAAGGCUUUGACGGGUAGCCGGCCUGAGAGGGUGACCGGCCACAUUGGGACUGAGAUACGGCCCAGACUCCUACGGGAGGCAGCAGUGGGGAAUAUUGUACAAUGGGCGGAAGCCUGAUGCAGCAACGCCGCGUGCGGGAUGACAGCCUUCGGGUUGUAAACCGCUUUCGCCUGUGACGAAGCGUGAGUGACGGUAAUGGGUAAAGAAGCACCGGCUAACUACGUG